rnacentral:snoRNA from 1 species
AUCCCAUGAUGAGGACACUUACGAAGUAACUCUUUAAACCACUCCCAAGCCUCAUACAAAGACUCGUCAUCCAAUUGUUAGGAAGUGUUGAUCUCGUUCCUCAACUU